UACAGAGGGUGCAAGCGUUAAUCGGAAUUACUGGGCGUAAAGCGUGCGUAGACGGUUACAUAAGUCGGGUGUGAAAGCCCCGGGCUCAACCUGGGAAUUGCAUUCGAGACUGCGUAGCUAGGGUGCGGAAGAGGGAAGCGGAAUUUCCGGUGUAGCGGUGAAAUGCGUAGAUAUCGGAAGGAACACCAGUGGCGAAAGCGGCUUCCUGGUCCAGCACCGACGUUCAGGCACGAAAGUGUGGGGAGCAAACAGG
rnacentral:rRNA from 1 species